rnacentral:rRNA from 1 species
CCUACGGGAGUCAGCAGUGAGGAAUAUUGGUCAAUGGACGAGAGUCUGAACCAGCCAAGUAGCGUGAAGGAUGACUGCCCUAUUGGUUGUAAACUUCUUUUAUAUGGGAAUAAAAUGUUCCACGUGUGGGAUUUUGUAUGUACCAUAUGAAUAAGGAUCGGCUAACUCCGUGCCAGCAGCAGCGGUAAUACGGAGGAUCCGCGCGUUAUCCGGAUUUAUUGGGUUUAAAGGGAGCGUAGGUGGAUUGUUAAGUCAGUUGUGAAAGUUUGCGGCUCAACCGUAAAAUUGCAGUUGAAACUGGCAGUCUUGAGUACAGUAGAGGUGGGCGGAAUUCGUGGUGUAGCGGUGAAAUGCUUAGAUAUCACGAAGAACUACGAUUGCGAAGGCAGUUCACUGGACUGCAACUGACACUGAGGCUCGAAAGUGUGGGUAUCAAACAGGAUUAGAUACCCUGGUAGUC